rnacentral:rRNA from 1 species
AGCAGCCGCCGCGGGAAUACGUAGGUCCCGAGCGUUGUCCGGAUUUAUUGGGCGUAAAGCGCGCGCAGGCGGAUAGGUCAGUCUGUCUUAAAAGUUCGGGGCUUAACCCCGUGAUGGGAUGGAAACUGCCAAUCUAGAGUAUCGGAGAGGAAAGUGGAAUUCCUAGUGUAGCGGUGAAAUGCGUAGAUAUUAGGAAGAACACCAGUGGCGAAGGCGACUUUCUGGACGAAAACUGACGCUGGGGCGCGAAAGCCAGGGAGCGAACGGGAUUAGAUACCCCUGUAGUCCCUGUCUCUUAUACAA